GUAGGCUGAAACUCGCCUACAUGAAGCUGGAGUUAUAGUAAUCGCAGAUCAGAAUGCUGCGGUGAAUGCGUUCCCGGGUCUUGUACACACCGCCCGUCACACCACGGAAGUUGGGGGCGCCCGAAGCCACUUAGCUAACCCUUUUGGGAAGCGAGUGUCGAAGGUGAAAUCAAUAACUGGGGUGAAGUCGUAACAAGGUAAC
rnacentral:rRNA from 1 species